ACCCACCAAAGCCUAAAGGGCACAGCCUAAAGUCAUCUAACCCAGCAGCUCGACCUCGCAGUGGGGGCUGAGGAGAAGCUGCCAGGUAAUUUCCCCACGAUGGCUUGGGCAGGAUGGAUGCAACCAGUCCCCACCAAGCCUGCAAGUCCCAGCACCUCCAUGAGCCUCUCAGUAGGACUGGAGAGGGGACAAGAGCAGGCAGAGGGACCUGCCUGGGGACCAGCUGGAGAGCACGGCAUCUCUAGAGGACCAGGAUGCUGACAGGCAGUAACACAAAACUGAGGAGUUGUACUGAAAGGAAGUUGAAAGGGAAAGUUAGGAGUCAAAUGGUUUCAGGACUCACAGACUUUAUUUAAACAGUACCUGAAUGUUGGUAGAGUGAACAACAGAAUAAAGACUAUCAGAAGCAAAGUAUGGGAAUGAAGUGUUCAAAAAUGGAAUAUGGAAGAAACAUGCACACAGGUAAGCCAAUGUUAAAAGUCAAUAUAAAUCUAUUAAAAAACCUUCUGAAGAGCAAUUUUCUAAACCCCUGAAAGUUAGUAACAAAAGCUGCCUCAAACACUUCCAAAGCAAGUAGUUUUCCAGACAGCUGUUCAGACUGAUAGAUGAUCAAUAUGUGAUAGAUGAGCACUCAAGACACAUUAUCUCAUGAUAGCAAAGUCAAAUAAAUACUGAGCAUGCACCCCACACUGCAGCCUUUCCUGCCCAAGAACACAUCUGAAGAGAUACCUCAAACUGAAGCGUCAGUAGAAAAGGUUUUCAAACAAACUGAUAAAGUGAGUAAGACCAACCUGCAAGACCAGACAGCAUUCACCCAAGAGCUCUAUGGAAAUCCAAAGAGGAAAUUGCUGAAUGGUUAUCCAUGGUGCAGAGCCAGCCUGCUGUUUAAAUCAGCCUAUGCCCAAAGAAUAGAAGCAGUAAAGGUGAUGCAAAAUGAAAAAGUUUCCAGACAAGCGUGAUUCUGAGUAAGGCAAACUGAUAAACAUUCCACAAAAGAACAUUAGACACACCAGAGAGGAAGGUGUAAUGGGGAAGAGUCAAGUGUUGUAUCUGCAGGAGGAAGUCAUGUCUCAUAAAUCAAGUUCUUCGGGGGUGUCACUGAAGGGAUGGUGAUGUGAGUGAUACCAUUCACUUGGCUUUACAAAUGUGAGAACCUAUGAAAAAUUUCAGUGUAAGAGCUGCUCUGGAUGGUUUUCUAAAAAUGAGAACUUAGUGCUCUGUGGGAAUUAAAAAAGCAAAGAGAAAAUUAAAAACUAGUAGGAAAAGACUUCAGAGCAAUAUCACAAAUUUUUGCACACAGCUCCAACGUGACAAUCUCAUACAGGAUAGAGCAGAACUACAAAAAGGCAAGAAAGGGCAACAAGACCCCAGGGGAACAGUUUCCAGACAAGAAGAGCCAGAAUGAAGGCUAAAACCCUUCAUCUUGGGAGAAAAGAACAUCAGAGGGGAUCUGAGAGAGGCCUGUGAAGUCACGAGUUCCGUGCAGAAGGUGAACAGGAAAUAAUUGUGCACCAUUUCUCAAAACUUCAAGGGCCAGGCAGACACUAACUAAUGAAAUUAUGAGACAGCAAGUUAAGAACAGA